GGCCUUCGUCGCGAAGGAGUCGCACGAAGAGAGAAAGAAGCGCAGACAUUUUAUUUCUUACCAUUUGUCUGUUCUUUCCCUCCUGUUCGUCUAGUUCUUCUCGUUCCGGCAAUCGCCGGCGAUUUCUUGCUCUCGGUAGAGGCAGUGCUGAUAACAUGUUAAAGUAAAACGAGAUUGAGUGAAAGUAAUGGACGAUCAGUCCUGAUUUCUAUUGAUUCUCA
rnacentral:lncRNA from 1 species